rnacentral:rRNA from 1 species
UACGGAGGGUGCAAGCGUUGUUCAGAAUCACUGGGCGUAAAGCGCGUGUAGGCGGCCCGCCAAGUCUGAUGUGAAAGCCCGGGGCUCACCCCCGGAAGAGCAUUGGAAACUGGCAGGCUAGAGUCCCGGAGAGGAGGGUGGAAUUCCUGGUGUAGCGGUGAAAUGCGUAGAUAUCAGGAGGAACACCGGUGGCGAAGGCGGCCCUCUGGACGGUGACUGACGCUGAGACGCGAAAGCGUGGGGAGCAAACAGG